rnacentral:rRNA from 1 species
UAGGGAAUCUUCGGCAAUGGACGAAAGUCUGACCGAGCAACGCCGCGUGAGUGAAGAAGGUUUUCGGAUCGUAAAACUCUGUUGUUAGAGAAGAACAAGGACGUUAGUAACUGAACGUCCCCUGACGGUAUCUAACCAGAAAGCCACGGCUAACUACGUGCCAGCAGCCGCGGUAAUACGUAGGUGGCAAGCGUUGUUCGGAUUUAUUGGGCGUAAAGCGAGCGCAGGCGGUUUCUUAAGUCUGAUGUGAAAGCCCCCGGGUCAACCGGGGAGGGUCAUUAGAAACUGGGAGACUUGAGUGCAGAGGAGGAGGGUGGAAUUCCAUGUGUGGCGGUGAAAUGCGUAGAUAUAUGGAGGAACACCAGUGGCGAAGGCGGCUCUCUGGUCUGUAACUGACGCUGAGGCUCGAAAGCGUGGGGAGCAAACAGG